rnacentral:lncRNA from 1 species
AGCCAUGAUUCACCCAUUUAAAACCUUACAAUAGAUUUAACAUUUUCAUAUAGGUUCUUGAUUUUGUGUUACAAGUUGGAACUUGGACAAAAUUUCUUUGCACAUUUUAAUUAACCGUAUCUUUCUCUUAUUUGAAGCAUCAGAAGAUAUUCUUUCUUAUUAAUCUAAAAUGAGUAUUCUCACCUCUUCGUAUCUGCUAAUUAUAUAGAGGAAAUUACAUGCAUGACUCUCUACCUUCAUACAAAGGCAAUUAAAAAGUACAGAAUGAGAUUAGGAGACUCUUCAGAGAAGGCUAGCCAUAUGACAAAUUUUCUCUAAAGACCAUUUACAUGCCAAGGUAGACACCACAAUUCUGUAAGUUCAUGCAAAACUCUUCAACCAAAGAGCCAAAUGCCAAAUGCCAAAAUGCCAAGCCAAAAGAUCAACUAAUAUCCUACAUCUUGUUUUCAAAACAAAUGUUUCACAUCCAACUAUCAGUGAAAAUGCUGAUUUGAGCAGAAAACUUGUACCUGCCUCACUGUGAUAUAUUUUCUGAAACACUAUGUUGCCAGUACCCAGUCGUACAAUGCUUGUAUAACAAAGUUCUUCUCAGAGAACAUAUUUUGGCAAUUAAUAGUUCGACCAUGACUGAUAGACACAGGUCCAGCACAAAUCACCUGCUGCUGUAGCUGUGUAAUGGAGAGCUUGUGUCCCACAGUGACUUGAAUUUCUACAGUGGAAUCAAGGGCGUGAGGCAGGGCUUGCAGAAUUCACAACACACCAAGGAAGGCUCAAGACACCCUGUGACGAGGAAGUGGUACUGGCCAUUGUUAGGCCCAGGGCUGUUUGAAAGGUCACCCACUCACAGUUCACUGAGGCAAAGAAAUGGAAGGUUAAGUCACCCAUGUUUUAACAAAAAAAUCAGAGUUAUUGGUAUAGUUACCUCUGGAAUCACCACUCAAGAUCAGCUUUACAGAAAAUCUACAAAGUAGAAACUUCAUAAAAAGAAAUACUAUUUAUGGGGGGGGGAAGGAAGAGGGAUUUCUGUCUAUUAUUUACAUGAGGAAAUCUACCGAAUUUUUCCUGGAAGACUAAGAAUGGCUGAAGAACAUGUGGGAUUAUCACCUCAGUAGUAUAUAAGUAAAAUCAAAGUAAUAGAGAGGGGAAGUGGUUUCUUAUUUGGACUAUUUAAUGCUUUGAGUUAUUUUUAUUAACACCUACUUAGCUCAAACACUAAAAGACACCUGGAAGAAAUAUCUGAUCCAUUUGUAUUUCAGUGGAGGAUUGAGAAAGCUCAUAAAAUACUUAGGAGGCUUCCAAAGAGCCUUUUAUGGAAAUAGGAGAGAUCUGAUUUAAUAUAGCUAGCUGAUAUUUUUAAAAGGAAAAGAAUCCAUGACUACAACUACCUAGAGGCACAUAAAAGACAUCACAGCUUCUUUUCCCUUGUUUUUCAGUA